CUUAUACUUCCUCCGUCCCAAAAUUCUUGUCUUAAAUUUGUCUAGAUACAGAUGUACCUAAUACUAAAACGUGACUUGAUACAUCCGUAUUUAGACAAAUCUAAGACAAGAAUUUUGGAACGGAGGGAGUAUUAC
rnacentral:pre_miRNA from 1 species